CCUACGGGUGGCAGCAGUGAGGAAUAUUGGUCAAUGGGCGCGAGCCUGAACCAGCCAAGUAGCGUGAAGGAUGACUGCCCUACGGGUUGUAAACUUCUUUUAUAAAGGAAUAAAGUGCUCCACGUGUGCCUUUUUGUAUGUACCUUAUGAAUAAGGAUCGGCUAACUCCGUGCCAGCAGCCGCGGUAAUACGGAGGGUCCGAGCGUUAUCCGGAUUUAUUGGGUUUAAAGGGAGCGUAGGUGGGUGGUUAAGUCAGUUGUGAAAGUUUGCGGCUCAACCGUAAAAUUGCAGUUGAUACUGGCAGUCUUGAGUACAGAAGAGGUAGGCGGAAUUCGUGGUGUAGCGGUGAAAUGCUUAGAUAUCACGAAGAACCCCGAUUGCGAAGGCAGCUUGCU
rnacentral:rRNA from 1 species